GGGCCCGCACAAGCGGUGGAGCAUGUGGUUUAAUUCGAUGAUACGCGAGGAACCUUACCAAGGCUUAAAUGUAGAUGGGACAGGCGGCGAAAGUUGCCCUUCUUCGGACUCUCUACAAGGUUGCUGCAUGGUUGUCGUUCAGCUCGUGCCGUGAGGUGUCGGGUUAAGUCCCAUAACGAGCGCAACCCUAUCUUUAGUUGCCAGCGGUUCGGCCGGGGACUCUAAAGAAACUGCCCGCGCAAGCGGUGAGGAAGGUGGGAUGACGUCAAAUCAUCACGGCCCUUACGUCUUGGGCUACACACGUGCUACAAUGGUAGUGACAAUGGGCAGCCACUCCGCGAGGAGGCGCAAA
rnacentral:rRNA from 1 species